CACGGGGGGAGCAAGCGUUGUUCGGAAUCACUGGGCGUAAAGGGCGUGCAGGCGGUCAGGUAAGUGGGAUGUGAAAUGCCCCGGCUCACCCGGGGACCGGCAUCUCAUACUGCUUGGCUUGAGUACGGGAGAGGAUGUGGGAAUUCCUGGUGUAGCGGUGAAAUGCGCAGAUAUCAGGAAGAACACCCGUGGCGAAGGCGGCUCUCUGGGACGGUACUGACGCUGAGACGCGAAAGCGUGGGGAGCGAACAGG
rnacentral:rRNA from 1 species